rnacentral:rRNA from 1 species
UAGAUCACAUUGGACCGUACCGUAAACCGACACUGGUGGGUGAGCAGAUAAUCUGCCAAGGCGCUUGAGAGAACUCGGGUUAAGGAACUCUGCAAAUUGAUACCGUAACUUCGGAAGAAGGUAUGCCUUCGACGGUGUAGGGAUUUACUCCCGAAGCUGUUGAAGGUCGCAGGUAAUCGGUGGCUGCGACUGUUUAUCAAAAACACAGGACUCUGCGAACACGCAAGUGGAAGUAUAGGGUCUGACGCCUGCCCGGUGCCGGAAGGUUAAUUGAUGGGGUUAGCCGCAAGGCGAAGCUCUUGAUCGAAGCCCCGGUAAACGGCGGCCGUAACAAUAACGGUCCUAAGGUAGCGAAAUUCCUUGUCGGGUAAGUUCCGACCUGCACGAAUGGCGUAACGCUGGCCACACUGUCUCGACCCGAGACUCAGUGAAGUUGAAAUCGCUGUGAAGAUGCGGCGUUCCCGCGGCAAGACGGAAAGACCCCGUGAACCUUCACUACAGCUUUACACUGAACUUUGAACCUUUCUGUGUAGGAUAGGUGGGAGGCUAUGAAACUUGGGCGCUAGCUCGAGUGGAGCCAACCUUGAAAUACCACCCUGGGAUGUUUGAAGUUCUAACCUUGGUCCGUAAUCCGGAUUGGGGACAGUGUAUGGUGGGUAGUUUGACUGGGGCGGUCUCCUCCCAAAGAGUAACGGAGGAGUGCAAUGGUACGCUCAGCGCGGUCGGUCAUCGCGCUCUAGAGUGCAAAGGCAUAAGCGUGCUUAACUGUGAGACAGACACGUCGAACAGGUACGAAAGUAGGUCUUAGUGAUCCGGUGGUUCUGUAUGGAAGGGCCAUCGCUCAACGGAUAAAAGGUACUCCGGGGAUAACAGGCUUAUUCCUCCCAAGAGUCCACAUCGACGGAGGAGUUUGGCACCUCGAUGUCGGCUCAUCACAUCCUGGGGCUGUAGCAGGUCCCAAGGGUAUGGCUGUUCGCCAUUUAAAGUGGUACGCGAGCUGGUUCAGAACGUCGUGAGACAGUUCGGUCCCUAUCUGCCGUGGGCGUUGGAAACUUGAGGGUGAGCUGUCCUUAGUACGAGAGGACCGGGAUGGACGUAUCUCUGGUGUUCCGGUUGUCACGCCAGUGGCACUGCCGGGUAGCUAUAUACGGACGGGAUAAGCGCUGAAAGCAUCUAAGCGCGAAGCCCCCCCCAAGAUUAGGUUUCCCUGGGAACUCGAUUCCCCUAAAGGGCCGUCGGAGACUACGACGUUGAUAGGCUGGGUGUGUAAGUGCAGCAAUGCAUUGAGCUAACCAGUACUAAUUGCCCGUGAGGCUUGAUC